GCCAACGGCCAUACCACGUUGAACACACCAGUUCUCGUCCGAUCACUGAAGUUAAGCAACGUCGGCCGGUUAGUACUUGGAUGGGUGACCGCCUGGGAAUCCUGGGUGCUGUUGGUA
rnacentral:rRNA from 1 species